AAACUCGUCUGAAGAUUAGGUAUCCCGGGGGCUAGACCCCCCUGAAGGGUCGUUCGAGACCAGAACGUUGAUAGGUCGGGUGUGGAAGCGCAGUAAUGCGUUGAGCUAACCGAUACUAAUUGCCCGUGCGGCUUGAUCCUAUAACUCUGCGGGUUUUGUA
rnacentral:rRNA from 1 species